GGGAAUAUAGCUCAGUGGUAGAGUGCUUGCCUAGCAUGCAUGAAGCCCUGGGUUCAACUCCUCAGUACCA
rnacentral:tRNA from 1 species